UCGAAAAAAGGGCCCCGCUCUUCAUGGGUACAAUAGUAAAGUAUUCUAGAGAUUCCUGCACAUAAGGCCGUUAUGUACCCAGCAGCAAGGGGUAAGAACAUUUUGUUCCUAGGAGACCUACAAAUAACAAACGAGUUAAGACAAAUUUAUAAGUUGACAUGAAAACAUCUACAAAAUUAAAUAGUGCAUAAUUACCAUAUUGGUGGAGGAGAUGUGGCUUGUGCAUUAUUGAUUGGUGGAGAAGCCGCCGCAGGAUUUGCCUCGGACAUGGCACCAAGCUGCAAAGAAAUAUACUAUU
rnacentral:lncRNA from 1 species